rnacentral:lncRNA from 1 species
AGAAGAUUGAGAAAACAAAACUUUAUUGAUGUUCAGGUGGAAGAACGAUAGUGCAUGCACAUAGAAUGACUGAGGAAGCGUUUAGAAAACCCCCACUGGAAGCAGAGAUUGUAUGAAGUGCCCCCCCCCCCGCUGUGUCUCUCCCUUGCUCCAGGAACGCUCCUUCUGAAGUGUCCUGUUUCUCAUGAAUAGAAACGAGGAGGUUUGGCCACGCCGCUACUGGGUAAUGUAAACAUAAUGCGAAGAGGAGCGUUCUGGGCGUUGGGGGCUGUGGUCCUGUGGUCGUAUCUCCUGUGGUCGUGGGGUCGUAUCUCCUGGGGUUGUAUCUCCUGGGGUCGUAUCUCCUGUGGUCGUGGGGUCGUAUCUCCUGUGGUCGUGUCUCCUGUGGUUGUAUCUCCUGUGGUCUUGGGGUUGUGUCUCCUGUAGUCGUAUCUCCUGUGGUUGUAUCUCCUGUGGUCAUGUGGUUGUGUCUCCUGUGGUCAUGUGGUCGUGUCUCAUGUGGUAUUGUCUCCGUCUCCUGAGUUUCACUUUAUAUUCCACCACACAUCUGUAAUUUAUUCUUCUAUUUACAUAGUAGGUGAAUCCUCUUUAUGCAUCUCACAUUUAUAUGGUUUUAUAUUCAAACAAGUGGAAAAGUCUAACAGAAAGCUACGAUAACCAUAAUAAUCAUCGUAAUAAUAAAAAAUAGUCCACCGUAGAGAUGAUAUGAGAAAAGGAAUUCAAGAUAUUGUGGAAUCAAAUGUAAAAAAAUUACAUGAAGAAAUGUGGAACAUACCACAAUGGUUUGUCCCACAGGCUCUUAAAGCAACAGAAAAUACAGGUUAUAUGUGUGCAAAAUAAUAUCAUUGGCAAAAAUACAAUUAGGAUAUCUACAGUGCAACUUGUAAAGAGAUAAUAUAAAUUCUGAAUAUGAUUUGAUAGAAAACGAGAUAGCUUUCCCUAACGAUUGGUUCUACUAGUCUAAAUCUAAAACAUAUUGUUGUGUAUUUAAUAUCAGAUAA